UACGUAGGGCGCAAGCGUUGUCCGGAAUUAUUGGGCGUAAAGAGCUCGUAGGCGGUCUGUUACGUCCGCUGUGAAAACCCAGGGCUUAACCCUGGGCUUGCAGUGGAUACGGGUAGACUAGAGGCAGGUAGGGGAGAAUGGAAUUCCCGGUGUAGCGGUGAAAUGCGCAGAUAUCGGGAGGAACACCGGUGGCGAAGGCGGUUCUCUGGGCCUGACCUGACGCUGAGGAGCGAAAGCGUGGGGAGCGAACGGG
rnacentral:rRNA from 1 species